UACGUAGGGGGGCAAGCGUUGUCCGGAUUUAUUGGGCGUAAAGAGCGUGUAGGCGGCCAUACAGGUCCGUUGUGAAAACUGGAGGCUUAACCUCCAGACGUCGAUGGAAACCGUAUGGCUAGAGUCCGGAAGAGGAGAGUGGAAUUCCUGGUGUAGCGGUGAAAUGCGCAGAUAUCAGGAAGAACACCAAUGGCGAAGGCAGCUCUCUGGGACGGUACUGACGCUGAGACGCGAAAGCGUGGGGAGCGAACAGG
rnacentral:rRNA from 1 species